UACGAAGGGGCUAGCGUUGUUCGGAAUUACUGGCGUAAAGCGCGCGCAGGCGGUUCUUCAAGUCAGUGGUGAAAGCCCGGAGCUCAACUCCGGAACUGCCAUUGAAACUGUAGAACUUGAGGAUGAGAGAGGUGAGUGGAAUUCCCAGUGUAGAGGUGAAAUUCGUAGAUAUUGGGAAGAACACCGGUGGCGAAGGCGGCUCACUGGCUCAUUCUGACGCUCAGGCGCGACAGCGUGGGGAUCAAACAGG
rnacentral:rRNA from 1 species